CCUACGGGUGGCAGCAGUGGGGAAUAUUGCUCAAUGGGCGAAAGCCUGACGCAGCGACGCCGCGUGAGGGAUGAAGGUCCUCGGAUCGGUAACCUCCGUCAGCAGGGAAGAACGGUCACUGUGCUAAUCAGCAGUGAAUUGACGGUACCUGCAAAGGAAGCACCGGCUAACUCCGUGCCAGCAGCCGCGGUAAUACGGAGGGUGCGAGCGUUAAUCGGAAUUACUGGGCGUAAAGCGCUCGUAGGCGGUAUGUCAAGUCAAGGGUGAAAUCCCCGCGCUCAACGUGGGAACUGCCUUUGAAACUGGCAGACUGGAGUGUGUGAGAGGAUAGUGGAAUUCCAGGUGUAGGAGUGAAAUCCGUAGAUAUCUGGAGGAACAUCAGUGGCGAAGGCGACUAUCUGGCACAUAACUGACGCUGAGGAGCGAAAGCGUGGGUAGCAAACAGGAUUAGAUACCCUAGUAGUC
rnacentral:rRNA from 1 species